GGGGAUGUGGCUUAGUGGUAGAGCGCUGCCUAGCAUGCAGGAUGCCCUGGGUUCCAUCCUCAGCACCCCUG
rnacentral:tRNA from 1 species